GACGAACGCUGGCGGCGUGCUUAACACAUGCAAGUCGAACGGUGAAGCCCGUUCUUGCGUUGCUGGAUCAGUAACGAACGGGUGAGUAGCACGUGAGCAAUCCGCCCCUGACUGUGGGCUAAGGGCUACAGACGGCGAUUCAUGCUGGAUACGCGCUCCGAAGGCAUGUUGAGCAGCUGGUAAGAAGUUCGGUGAGGGAUGCGCUCGCGGCCUACCGGCUUGUGGGGGAGGUAAUGGCUAACCAUGGCGUCGGCGGGCGGCCGGCCUGGGGGGGUGACCGGCCACACUGGGACUGGGACACGGCCCAGACUCCUACGGGAGGAAGCAGUGGGGAAUAUUGCACAAUGGGCGAAAGCCUGAUGCAGCAACGCCGCGUGAGGGACGACGGCCUUCGGGUUGUAAACCUCUUUUAGCAGGGAAGAAGCGAAAGUGACGGUACCUGCAGAAAAAGCGCCGGCUAACUACGUG
rnacentral:rRNA from 1 species